AUUGAACGCUGGCGGCAGGCCUAACACAUGCAAGUCGGACGGUAACAGGAAGAAGCUUGCUUCUUUGCUGACGAGUGGCGGACGGGUGAGUAAUGUCUGGGAAACUGCCUGAUGGAGGGGGAUAACUACUGGAAACGGUAGCUAAUACCGCAUAACGUCGCAAGACCAAAGAGGGGGACCUUCGGGCCUCUUGCCAUCGGAUGUGCCCAGAUGGGAUUAGCUAGUAGGUGGGGUAACGGCUCACCUAGGCGACGACCCCUAGCUGGUCUGAGAGGAUGACCAGCCACACUGGAACUGAGACACGGUCCAGACUCCUACGGGAGGCAGCAGUGGGGAAUAUUGCACAAUGGGCGCAAGCCUGAUGCAGCCAUGCCGCGUGUAUGAAGAAGGCCUUCGGGUUGUAAAGUACUUUCAGCGGGGAGGAAGGGAGUAAAGUUAAUACCUUUGCUCAUUGACGUUACCCGCAGAAGAAGCACCGGCUAACUCCGUG
rnacentral:rRNA from 1 species